rnacentral:sRNA from 1 species
GGACGAGAUGCCUCCCUCAAGCCUGGGCGCCCCCAUGGCCCUGCUGGCUGCCCUGAGCUGCUCCAAGGUUGAGCUAAACCCCAGAAGCACACGGCCAUUUGGGGACCUGGGGCCCACCCUGGGCCUUCCUGGGAGGAGACAGAGAGUAGGAGGCUGUGUGCCUGGGUUCUGGGGCCCUGUCCUCUUCCUGUCCCUGCCCCUUGCCUCCUCCUCACAUUCCUCUUCUCCAAACCAUAUAACGGGGGAAGCUUCGCCCUCAGAAGCCGACAGGGAGACCUCUUUGGUGAGGGACCCCGGGGCUGGAGACCCCGAGGCCGGCCUCCGCGGGCUGGUUGAGGAGGGAGGCUGUUAGCCUGGGAGCUUGGCCCACGCUGGGGGGCUCUGUCUGACCCAGGGCCACCUCCCCCAAAGCCAGGACGGCAGAGUGGGCACUGAGGUUGGAGGAGGAAGCCAGGUCAGGGCCGGUGGAAGAGGCUGAGGACCUCCCGGGGUUCCCUGUGUCCAGCCAGAGGCUUGGGGACUGGCCAGGCCCCCACCUGCCAGGGCUCCCACAGUGGCCCCCCAUGCCCUGGCCCGGGUGCCCAGAACAGUGCUGCAUCCCCAGGAAGGGACCUGGGCUCAGUGGAAUUAAAUUAAGUCCUGGCCUGUCUGACCAGUGGCUUUGCAUCCCCAGAGCGAUGAAUGACAUCGGCGACUACGUGGGCUCCAACCUGGAGAUCUCCUGGCUCCCCAACCUGGACGGGCUGAUAGCCGGCUACGCCCGCAACUUCCGGCCUGGCAUUGGAGGCCCCCCCGUGAAUGUGGCCCUCGCCCUGGAGGUGGCCAGCAUCGACCACAUCUCAGAGGCCAACAUGGAGUACACCAUGACGGUGUUCCUGCACCAGAGCUGGCGGGACAGCAGGCUCUCCUACAACCACACCAACGAGACCCUGGGCCUGGACAGCCGCUUCGUGGACAAGCUCUGGCUGCCCGACACCUUCAUCGUGAACGCCAAGUCGGCCUGGUUCCACGAUGUGACGGUGGAGAACAAGCUCAUCCGGCUGCAGCCCGACGGCGUGAUCCUGUACAGCAUCCGAAUCACCUCCACUGUGGCCUGCGACAUGGACCUGGCCAAAUACCCCAUGGACGAGCAGGAGUGCAUGCUGGACCUGGAGAGCUACGGUUACUCAUCAGAGGACAUCGUCUACUACUGGUCGGAGAGCCAGGAGCACAUCCAUGGGCUGGACAAGCUGCAGCUGGCGCAGUUCACCAUCACCAGCUACCGCUUCACCACGGAGCUGAUGAACUUCAAGUCCGCCGGCCAGUUCCCACGGCUCAGCCUGCACUUCCAGCUGCGGAGGAACCGCGGCGUGUACAUCAUCCAGUCCUACAUGCCCUCUGUCCUGCUGGUCGCCAUGUCCUGGGUCUCCUUCUGGAUCAGCCAGGCGGCGGUGCCCGCCAGGGUGUCUCUAGGCAUCACCACGGUGCUGACGAUGACCACGCUCAUGGUCAGUGCCCGCUCCUCCCUGCCGCGGGCGUCAGCCAUCAAGGCACUGGACGUCUACUUCUGGAUCUGCUAUGUCUUCGUGUUUGCCGCCCUGGUGGAGUACGCCUUUGCGCAUUUCAACGCCGACUACAGGAAGAAGCAGAAAGCCAAGGUCAAGGUCUCCAGGCCGAGGGCAGAGAUGGACGUGAGGAAUGCCAUUGUCCUCUUCUCCCUCUCUGCUGCCGGCGUCACGCAGGAGCUGGCCAUCUCCCGCCGGCAGCGCCGCGUCCCGGGGAACCUGAUGGGCUCCUACAGGUCGGUGGGGGUGGAGACAGGGGAGACGAAGAAGGAGGGGGCAGCCCGCUCGGGAGGCCAGGGGGGCAUCCGUGCCCGGCUCAGGCCCAUCGACGCAGACACCAUUGACAUUUACGCCCGCGCUGUGUUCCCUGCGGCGUUCGCCGCCGUCAAUGUCAUCUACUGGGCGGCGUACGCCAUGUGAGCGCAGGACUCAGACCACCCUCGCUUGUCCUGGCGCCCGGCGGCGGCUGCCCAGAAACUUCCUGGGAGAAAGAGCCCUUGGGCCGCCUUCCCCUCUGCGUGUUUCAAAGUGGGAUGACAGUCGGCCACAGAAAACAAGAGGAAGCCUCGGCCUCCCUGAGCUCUGACCCCAGCCUCACCCGCAAGGCCAGCCUGGGGCUCUCCGGCAGGCGGCGCGAGACUCACACAGAUGAAGGAGCAGAGGGUCUGCCUGAGAGGCUGAGCCAGGCCGGGGUCUGGGCCCUUCAGAGAGCCGCGGAUUUUUAGGUUCAGAAAGUGAUCCUGGUUUCUAGGUCUUUGCUCUGCGGGAUCGGGAUCGGAGCAUGGGAGGAUGCGGGAGUGGACGUCCAUCCGGUAAACAGUGAAGGCGUUUGUGAGGUCUUUCUGGUCCC